GACAGAGGGUGCAAACGUUGUUCGGAAUUACUGGGCGUAAAGCGUGUGUAGGCGGCCAUAUAAGUCGGAUGUGAAAGCCCUGGGCUCAACCCAGGAAGUGCACUCGAUACUGUGUGGCUUGAGUACUGGAGAGGUUGGUGGAAUUCUCGGUGUAGAGGCGAAAUUCGUAGAUAUCGAGAGGAACACCGGUGGCGAAGGCGGCCAACUGGACAGAUACUGACGCUGAGACACGAAAGCGUGGGGAGCAAACAGG
rnacentral:rRNA from 1 species